rnacentral:antisense_RNA from 1 species
GGGCGGCGAGGCGAGGCCUGCGGAGCGGAGGAAGACAAACAUAAAGAUGAAGUGCUUAAUUCAAGGUCACACAAUGUCGGGGAUGGACCUCCAGAUUUCCUUACUGGUGAGACGUGGUCUUGUAACACAGUGGUUAAGAAUGUGACUUUGGAGCCAGCCUGCUAGGGGCUGAAUUCUGACUCAGCCAUUUACUAACUGUGUGACCUUAGGUGGAGUCUCACUCUGUAGCCCAAGCUGGAGUGGUGUGAUCUCGACUCACUGCAACCUCCGCCUCCUGGGCUCAAGUGAUUCUCGUGCCUCAGCCUCCUGAGUAGCUGGGACUACAGGUCACAGAAUUUUCCACACUCCUUGACGGAGGUGCUUAACCCUUAUCCAUCAGCAUUCUCAGACAGCACCUCCGGUUAGGGACAGUAUCUGACCGUCCGACAUCCCUGCAGCCCCCAUGUGUCACACAGACUCAGCCUCAGGUAGAUGGUUUCCGUAGAUGGUGGCUUUCUUUGGACCCUUGACAUCAACCAGUUACUAUUUGGGGACCAGAUGUGCAGAGGUAAUGAAUACCAGGGAAUCAGGAAACCACUGGAUCAGUUCUUUGAGCCACAGAACAACACUCAUCCCAGCAGCUGGGAAGCUAUCUGCAAAAGUCCAUCUGCAGAAAGGGCUUCCUGGUCUUGCGUGUGGCUGGGCCAUUUCUCUGGAUGCAGGUUUUUCAUUAUACAGUCUUCUCAAAGAAACACCUGCUCU